GACCGGCGCACGGGUGAGUAACGCGUAUGUAAUCUGCCUUGGACGGSGGAUAGCCCAGAGAAAUUUGGAUUAAUACCUCAUAGUAUUACUGAAUCGCAUGAUUUGGUAAUUAAAGCUCCGGCGGUACAAGAUGAACAUGCGUGACAUUAGCUAGUUGGUAAGGUAACGGCUUACCAAGGCUACKAUGUCUAGGGGUUCUGARAGGAUGAUCCCCCACACUGGUACUGAGACACGGACCAGACUCCUACGGGAGGCAGCAGUGAGGAAUAUUGGUCAAUGGACGCAAGUCUGAACCAUCCAUCCCGCGUGAAGGAUGACUGCCCUAUGGGUUGUAAACUUCUUUUAUAUGCAAAUAAACCUACUUUCGUGAAAGUACUUGAAGGUACAUAUGAAUAAACACCGGCUAACUCCGUGCCAGCACCGCGGUAUACGGAGGGUGUAA
rnacentral:rRNA from 1 species